UCACCAACUCUUCUGCUACCCUGGUCCUUUGGGGAACUUCCUGAUGCAGUUUUAUAGGGAAGAACAGCAGAUCAGCCAGCUGGUGAUCGUAUCGCAGGUCCCUGUGUAGAUGCUGCCCUGCCAGGAAAGCCAGCUUGUGUGCAUAUUGGACGGGCGCCGGCACCCUGAUGGUUCCGGGCCAGUUGAAGUACAGG